rnacentral:rRNA from 1 species
GACGAACAGUGCGAGCGUUAUUCGGAUUUAUUGGGUGUAAAGGGUACGUAGGUGGCUGCUUAAAAAAAGUGCGAAAUACUAGGGUUAUAACCUUAGAAGUGUUCUUUACAAUUAUUCAGCUUAUAGUUAAAGAGAGGUUGGAAGAAAUUCUAGUGUAGGGUUAAAAUUCUUCAAUAUUAGAAUGAAUACCAAAGGCGAAAGCAUCUUUCUGGCUUUAACUGACGCUGAGGUACGGAAGCUUGGGGAGCAAACGGG